UUGACAUAAGUAUUCUGAGAUGGUUUGGGAAAUUUUCCACCACUUGGUGGUCCACAGUUGAUUAGAAACCCCGCAGGCCUGGGGCUGCAGAGAGUGCUGUGAUGCUGUAUGGCUGCAAAACCCUGUGAGCGACAAGAGAAGGGACUUGGUAUAACAGCUUCUCUGCAAGUCAGAACAACUCACGCUGAGAGAAGGGAAGAGCAAAGCUUCCCACACAGCUCCCUUGCCUUGUUCCCUGUAGCAGUCAUUUGAUGGAUGCUGUCAGUGUGGAUUAAAUACUACUUUAAAAGGAAUGUAAGUGAACCCUGAUGCUACAGGAGAACAACAGAAGAAAGCUUGCUGCUGUGGAAGGAAAUUAUUCACUGUGGUGUGGGUAGAUGUGUGCGUAUGCGAUGCAGGGAGAUUUUUUCAAAGGGAACAGAUUGUGCUUCUGCAUUUGUCUACCUCCUUGUAGUCCUUUCUCUUUGAUUACCUGCACUAGCAGUUCAGACCUGGCCCAGCCUGGCCCCAGCAGAAUUUACUCCAACCCCUUUUGCAAUCUCUCCUUUGCUCGGUCCUGCCUGGGCCUCUACUGCGCUGGCCACGCAGGCCCCUUAGCUGCUCCAAGCAGCUUUUCCCUAAUUCCUUGGCAGCCUCUUCCUUUGCAUGUCCUCACGCAGUGCUGGAGCUAGGAGGCUGUGGCCACUGCUGACAGAGCACGGGGUGUUUGCCAACGAGCAGAGCCUGCCCGAGGCCUGUGGUGAGCAGGGAAGGGGCCUGGGGGCUGCAGGGCUGCAUCCUGCCCUCACCUGCUCGCUCUCCGCUCUGUUCCCUUACAUGGAAACUCUUCCCCCGGAUGUGGUCUGUCUGGGUUCUUUUUAUGUAAAAUGAGACAAGGCUUCUUCCUAGCAGAGGAUGUUGGAGGACAAGGGGGCCAGUUCAGCCCCCCGCCCAGGCAGGGAGCUGGCAAAUGGUCCUCCCUCCUGGCCUGGUGCAAGGGAGCAGGGCGGCAGAGCUUCACACCUGCCUUCGCAUCAGAACUGCCCUGUCAC